rnacentral:rRNA from 1 species
CCUACGGGUGGCAGCAGUGAGGAAUAUUGGUCAAUGGGCGCGAGCCUGAACCAGCCAAGUCGCGUGAGGGAAGACGGUCCUAUGGAUUGUAAACCUCUUUUGUCGGGGAGCAAAAGACGCCACGCGUGGCGUUCCGAGAGUACCCGAAGAAAAAGCAUCGGCUAACUCCGUACCAGCAGCCGCGGUAAUACGGAGGAUGCGAGCGUUAUCCGGAUUUAUUGGGUUUAAAGGGUGCGCAGGCGGAAGAUGAAGUCAGCGGUAAAAUUGAGAGGCUCAACCUCUUCGAGCCGUUGAAACUGGUUUGCUUGAGUGAGUGAGAAGUAUGCGGAAUGCGUGGUGUAGCGGUGAAAUGCAUAGAUAUCACGCAGAACUCCGAUUGCGAAGGCAGCAUACCGGCGCUCAACUGACGCUCAUGCACGAAAGUGUGGGUAUCGAACAGGAUUAGAUACCCGAGUAGUC